UUUUAGUUUUUGAGUGCUAUUUUUUUGAUAUAAACUUAGAAAAGUGCUAUUUUAGAUAUUUGCCAUAACAAAAACUAAUCAGCAAUGAAUAGAUAAAUUUAUAUAACUUGUACAUUGCUUACGUCUCAUUUUAAGUACUAUAACUUUGAGAUAGACCUGUUUGUUUCUCCAUCUGGAUGGACCAUUUGGAUGAAGAUGAGAGUUUUGUUUGUUUAGGCACUAAAAGUGCAAUUCAUUCAGAUGGAUCAUCCGGAUGACUUUUGGAAAUUUAGGCUUAAUUUUAAAGUCCAUUCAGCUGAACCAAUUUGGAUCAUUUGAAUGGAUAUGGUUCAUUCAAAAUGGUAUAAUGUCUAUUACGCCCCUAAUAUAAUUCACAAAUUAUAAAC
rnacentral:lncRNA from 1 species